rnacentral:rRNA from 1 species
GACGAACGCUGGCGGCGUGCUUAACACAUGCAAGUCGAACGGAUAGGCCCUGCUUUUGCGGGGUGCUAGAGUGGCGAACGGGUGAAUAACACGUGAGUAACCUGGCCUGGACUUUGGGAUAACUUCAGGCAACUGGUGCUAAUACCGGAUAGGAGCUCCUGCUGCAUGGUGGGGGUUGGAAAGUAUCGGCGGUGAGGGAUGGACUCGCGGCUUAUCAGCUUGUUGGUGGGGUAGUGGCCUACCAAGGCUUUGACGGGUAGCCGGCCUGAGAGGGUGACCGGCCACAUUGGGACUGAGAUACGGCCCAGACUCCUACGGGAGGCAGCAGUGGGGAAUAUUGCACAAUGGGCGGAAGCCUGAUGCAGCAACGCCGCGUGCGGGAUGACGGCCUUCGGGUUGUAAACCGCUUUCGCCUGUGACGAAGCGUGAGUGACGGUAAUGGGUAAAGAAGCACCGGCUAACUACGUG